UUCUUUAAUCUUGCAACUCCUAUAUUUUUUUAUGUUUUAUUAUAAUGUUUUUAAUUUUUUUUAUGGGUGUAUGUAUGACUCAAUAAAAAUCUUGUAAAAAACCGAACCAACUCAUACCGUAUUGGUUUGGUUUGGUUAUAUUCUACUCAUUUGGAUAUGGACAACCUUUUUAGGGAACUUAUUGAGGAAAAACGCUUUUAGGAUCCGUUGAUGAAGAGCUGAAAAAGUAUGGCUCAUACUCCUAACAUCUU
rnacentral:lncRNA from 1 species